UACGGGAGGCAGCAGUGAGGAAUAUUGGUCAAUGGACGAGAGUCUGAACCAGCCAUGCCGCGUGGAGGAUUAAGGCCUUCUGGGUUGUAAACUUCUUUUAUUAGGGAAGAAAAGUACGGUUUCUACUGUAUCCGACGGUACCUAAUGAAUAAGCACCGGCUAACUCCGUGCCAGCAGCCGCGGUAAUACGGAGGGUGCAAGCGUUAUCCGGAUUUACUGGGUUUAAAGGGUGUGUAGGCGGACAGGUAAGUCAGAGGUGAAAUCUCCGAGCUCAACUCGGAAACUGCCUUUGAUACUAUUUGUCUUGAAUUUCGUUGAGGUUGGCGGAAUAUAUCAUGUAGCGGUGAAAUGCAUAGAUAUGAUAUAGAACACCGAUUGCGAAGGCAGCUAACUAAACGAACAUUGACGCUGAGGCACGAAAGCGUGGGUAGCGAACAGGAUUAGAUACCCUGGUAGUCCACGCCCUAAACGAUGAUUACUCGACAUACGCGAUACACAGUGUGUGUCUGAGCGAAAGCAUUAAGUAAUCCACCUGGGAAGUACGUCCGCAA
rnacentral:rRNA from 1 species